UUGACAUCAAAUCAGGUAGACGCCCGUC
rnacentral:rRNA from 1 species